rnacentral:rRNA from 1 species
GACGAACGCUGGCGGCGUGCCUAAUACAUGCAAGUCGAACGCAGUGGGGACGGGUGAGUAACACGUGGGUAACCUCCCAUCAGAGGGGAUAACACUUGGAAACAGGUGCUAAACCGAUACUGAUGGAUGGACCCGCGGUGCAUUAGCUAGUUGGGGGGGUAACGGCUCACCAAGGCCACGAUGCAUAGCCGAACUGAGGGGGGGAUGUGCCAAACUGGAACUGAGACACGGCCAAGACUCCUACGGGAGGCAGCAGUAGGGAAUAUUCGGCAAUGGACGAAAGUCUGACCGAGCAACGCAGCGUGAGUGAAGAAGGUUUUCGGAUCGUAAAACUCUGUUGUUAGAGAAGCGGUAUCUAACCAGAAAGCCACGGCUAACUACGUGCCAGCCGCCGCGGGAAUAC